CCUAAGCCUUCCUUCCUCCACUCCGGGUCACGGUAUUAAGGAGUUGACGUAUAAGUUCUCGGGUUCCGCGGCAGGCUUGUUUGGAGAUAGCUUUCCUUUCCUUGGGUGGAUCCGUUGAGCGUGGACUCGAUCGAGGGGCAUAACCGAGUAUCAGGUAAGGGCACAGCGAGGGGCAGACCGACGAGAGGCAGGAAGGAUGCGUGAAGGCCAUAUGGAC